rnacentral:rRNA from 1 species
UACGGAGGGGACUAGCGUUGUUCGGAAUUACUGGGCGUAAAGCGCACGUAGGCGGAUUUGUAAGUCAGGGGUGAAAUCCCGAGGCUCAACCUCGGAACUGCCUUUGAUACUGCAAAUCUCGAGUCCGGAAGAGGUGAGUGGAAUUCCUAGUGUAGAGGUGAAAUUCGUAGAUAUUCGCAAGAACACCAGUGGCGAAGGCGGCUCACUGGCCCGAUACUGACGCUGAGGUGCGAAAGCGUGGGGAGCAAACAGGG